CCUUCCGACACUCCUGGAGGAAACGUCACACACAUUUGGACUUUAUCACAGUGAACGGCGAGGGUAACAGUGGUUUCUUUGAAUGUGGAAUUAAGCCACGCGAUUGCUGCUUUCCAGGAGUGUCAGCGGGAGCAAGAAAUGAACACACGGAAGACCAAAACCUCAGCCGCGAGGACUUUUCUUUUCAAGCACGAGGAACAAGACUUGACGAUAAAAGACUUGGCCAAACAAAUGGAGACAUCGAUUUUCCUCUGGAAAGUAUUCGCAUCUGCCCAGGACCAACAACGAGACUAACAGAAUGGAAGAAAAGAAGAAUAAAAAACAAAUGUCUACCUUUGGUGCCAAUAAGCAGGAAUCGUAAUCUACGUAUGCCUGUACUAAGUUUCAAGCCAGCUCCUAACUAAACAUUACAGACCUCCAUUGCCCUGUGUCCAGCAGUUCUGAGUGAUGUUUCUCUGAACAGCAUGGUAUUGAUACCUUAUCUCUUCCUCGCUACAAUGAGUGGAACAGACCCUCCUCAGUAGACAGAAGGAGACCUGACUGCCCUCUGUGUCCAGCCACGAUGCAAAGCUCUGACUUUGGUCUCUGCCACAUUCACCUUUAGAUGAAGAACAGGACAAAGGGACUGCGAAGUUUCUAGCUGUGCUAUUCUAUAACUCUACCUUCUUAACAGUGAUUAAAGGAGCCCUAAUCAGCAUGGUGUCCAAGACUAUUAAAUUGCGAACAUUAAUUGUGACCACAUUUCAGGUUUACUCUAAUAAGAUGAAACCAGCACUUCAAAAUUAGCAGUGUUUCUCAGUGCACAAAGGAAGUGACGUGGCUUCUCAUUUCAAAUAAUGCCCAAUUUACACCAUGGCAAACUUGACCCACUGUUCCUUAAAAGAAACCUAGUUUAAUUCAUCUUUGUGCUACACAAGCCUGACUCUCCCUAAUUACAAAUUAUAAAUUAUUGGGCCAACUGGCAUAUCGCUUUUUUCGCUAAUGGAGCUUGAAGAAUCGAGAUACCCAGUUGUUUGUUUCAUUGUCUUAUUACGAACACAACAUUUAAAAAGUUGGGGUUAUUCCAAAGAAUAUUUUUCAAGGUACCAACAUUUAAACUGCAAAAACUGGAAGCAAAUUAGUUAAUUACUGUCUCCAACUGUAUAGGUGCUAACAAAUUCCUUUUCCUCACCUAUAAUGAACUCCCAGUGCUCGCCAAGACAGGGGAGGCGUGGGCAGUGAUGUGGAUUUUCUCUGCACAAGUAAAUUGCUUUUCCUGAUUUACAUGGGUGGAAGGUGGAAGUGGGGAGGUAGAGUGCCUAUUUACACACUGGAUAAUCCA